rnacentral:lncRNA from 1 species
CUCCGCGCCGCCGUCUUCGUUGCUCUUGGGUGGCCGCGGCGCCCGCUCCCUCUGAAUUCGCCGGGCAGGGAUACAGCCGCCCGGGGCCUCUUGCUCGUGCUUGGUUUUCCGGACCUUGCUUCCUAAAGGGUCUUUAGGGGUUCCCGGACUCCUCCGCCUGGGAGCCUCUAUCCGCCUGGGAGCCUCUAUGCGCCCCGCAAAGCCCCCGGCAGAGCCGAGGGGAGGCUUCAUUGGCGACCUGGUGGGGCCUCGCGGCCCUGCUCCCUGACGUCAGCGCCGCCGCGGUGAUUUAACAGCUUUUGUUUUGGGCAGAAGAACCUAUGGGCACAAAAAGCAGGAACGAGUAGCGGUGGCUGAAGAACGAGCAGGAGCUUGAAUUUCAGUUUUCUUAUGAGGAAUUUUCCAGAAAAGAUAUCUUCACUGUGAAAUAACUAAAUAAAUGCCCACUCAGUACAACAAAAAUACCUGCUACAUGCUUCCUUCUGUAUGAAUACAUGAGACCUACCUUCAUUCAUGUUUCCUCUAUGAAGCUUUCCCUGCACUCCAAACACAGAGCUGAGACUUCCACCUAAUGUAGAAAGCUAGCACGAGCCGGCGCUGACAGAUGGAAGACUUGAGAUGUUACAAGAUUAUAUAUGGAAACACAAAAGGAGUGGAGUUGCUGGGUCAUAUGGCAAUUCAUUUGAGGAACUGAGAAGCUUAUUCCAUGGAGGCUGAACUGUUUUAUAUUCCCACCAGCAACGUGUAAGGUUCCAGUUUAUCUACAUCAUCACCAACACUUGCUAUUUUCCAUUUCAUUAAUGAUAGCCAUCCUAGUGGAUUUGAAGUGGUACCUUAUUAUCGUGGUUUUGAUUGCAUUCUCUAUUGACUAAUGAUAUCGAGCAUCUUUUCAUGUAUUUUUUGGUCAUUUGGUCAUUUUUCUUUUUUAAUUUUAAAAUUUUGAGACAGGCUCUCACUAUGUUGCCCAGGUGGUCUCAAACUCCUGGGUUCCAGCGAUGCUCAUGCCUCAGUCUCCCAAAGGGGUGGGAUUACAGGUGUGAGCCACUUUGCCCAGCCCAUUUGUAUAUCUCCUUUGGAGAAUAUCUAGGUUCUUUUGAAGGUAGCUGCAUAUAAACUAGCCAAAUUAACAGACUGUGGUUUUUAGAUGGCUUUCCAUAUCUACAAGAACUAUUUAGUUCUCAAAACUGGGAAGAAAUGUUUCAGAGGCAUCAUUAAUUCAUAAUCUAAAAAUUUAUCUUGGGUUUCCUUUUUUCCCCCAGAUUCUGUAUCCUCCAUAGUCCUAUUCAUGACAUGGGUCGUUCAUCUCUGUAUUCUAAACCCUCAAUGAACUGUAGACAGUAAUAAAUAUUUAUUGGAUGAAAAAAAAAAAAAAAAAA